UGGCAUAAUACAGUACGAUGAUAUAUACAGCAGAAUCUUUCUCAUCCAAAUACUGACAUAAUCUUAUUUCAACCAUCCACUAGGGUGCCAAGUAAUCCAGUCCAUAACAUGGCAUUGACUAAAAUCAAGAGAACCCGAUAGUUAACAAUUGUACACUGGUAAGCUUGAUAAUCGUUCAUCAAUAAGCCACACCACCAAUGCAAAGAGUACAGGUCAAGUUACCUUUAAAGCCAUCAUCCCUGUAGACACUUGUUGGGAGUUGUGGAUAACCCUUGCCAAUUCUUUAUCUGGAUGGGCUUGUAUGGACAAGGCUUUCUCUAUCCAGAGUACCUAGAGUCUCAAAAUGGAUUUAAGAAGUUCACAAUUUUGGCAAAACAAUCAUGAAACCAUAUGCAAUAUUGCAACUUAUAAUAACAGCAAUAAGACAGAAGACGAAACAAGUAGAAUCAAUGACUUUCGUAAUAAGGAGAAAAUAAAAACUUCAACCUUCAACAAGAAUGGAAGAUCACCGCCGCACUUCUUCAUAACCCUUUCUCCAAGAACCACAAUGGGGUUCACCAAGAUCCAUGUUUUCAAAAUCAAUGACCGCAAUCUUCCAUUGCCAUGCUCCACACAAUCCAGAGAUUCGCAUAAGCUUAUAAGGGUCUAUAUCAGAGACACAAUUGAGGCAAAAAG
rnacentral:lncRNA from 1 species